rnacentral:lncRNA from 1 species
CUUGUGUUUGCUACAUACAUAAAAAAUAAAUUUAAAUAUAAUAGGGUAUUUUCUUCUAAGUAAUGAGAAAUAAAUAAGGCUAAGUGACUCACCUUAUGUACAGUUCAAUGACAUCAUAAUUGAACAGCAUAUAGUGGUGCGCCUUAUCUCUUUCCUCAAGGCUCAAAUCAGUGAGGUAGUAUGAAAUGGGAAGUCCACCUGACUGUAAAAUGGACUCAAAUGCAGGCUCAAUUGGCUCAUACUAAUCAUCCUG